CGCCAAGAGCGCACAGACUUUGAAGCAGGAAAAGACAGUCUCUAGAGCAACAUGGAAAGGAUCCAGUAUUUGUUUUCAGGCAAAAGCAAGCCUCCAAAAGCCCCUUGGUUCUUCUCUGUGUGUCUCGCCCCUUCUGCCUUGUACACCAGACUGCCGGCAAGCAAGCGGGGAGGUGGCGAACAGCUGGGAUCCUCCAGUGAAAAGUUUGCUCAGCGCGAGAGAUGUCAAGAGGCUGGGAUUGUCGCCUAUCGGGAGAAGAAUUCCACAGAUGAAUUGGUUCUGCCCUGUAUCUUUGAAUGGUUUUUAUUUUCUGAUGUCCAGUGUGGCAGCCUGGCAGAGACAUUUAGUUGAAAGAACACGGGGCUCUGGAAACAACCAGUCCUCCUUGGUUCAUAUUCUCGUGUUGUCACUUAUUAACCGAGUGACAUUGGAGGUGAUAUGCUGCAGUUUAUCACUGAGGUCCUGAGAUGGUCCAUACUCUAAGCUUUGUGUCUACUGUGGGGGGCAAAGGGAAAACUUCCCCCUUGCUCUCUGAAGAGUCAUUGAAAAUCAACUGACAAAAGAAUCUAAAAUAUUCCUGGAAAUGGAGAGUCCUGACAUGAUGGCCCCAUGAUGAAAAGAACCCAGGUUCCUGAGUCACGACGUGGACAUGAGGCACCAAGGAGAAAACACGUGAACCUUAAUAAGUUUGGGGGUACACCUCCUUGCCAUGUGUUACCUUCUGUCAUGUUAUGAUGCAGCAAGAAGGCCCUAAUCAGUGGUAGUCCCUCAGUCCUGGACUUCUCAGCCUCCAGAACU
rnacentral:lncRNA from 1 species